AUGGGGCUGAGCCUCUUUUCUCCCCCCCCAGAUCAACCUGUGAAGAAGGGAAAGAAGGACCGAAGGGCGAAGAAAUCGGUGAGCGCUGCCCCACACGUCGCCGACCCCUGCCCCACACGUCGCCGACCCCUGCCCCACACGUCGCCGAUCCCUGCCCCACACGUCGCCGAUCCCUGCCCCACACGUCGCCGAUCCCUGCCCCACACAUUACCGAUCCCUGCCCCACACUUUGUUGAUCCCUGCCCCACACAUUGCCGAUUCCUGUGCCCUGCAUUACUGAUCCUUGCCCCAUACAUUGGCAAUCCCUGCCCCACACAUUAUGAAUCCCUGCCCCACACAUUGGCAAUCCCUGCCCCACACAUUGCCGAUCCCUGCCCCACACAUUGCCCCACACAUCACCGCUCUCCGCCCCACACGUUACCAAUCCUUGCCCCACAUAUUACCAAUCCCUGCCCCACACAUUGCCAAUCCCUGCCCCACACAUCGCCCCAGACAUCCCUGCUCUCCGCCCCACACGUUACCAAUCCCUGCCCCACACAUUGCCGAUCCCUGCCCCACAUAUUGCCCCACACAUCACUGCUCUCCGCCCCACACGUCGCUGAUCCCUGCCCCACACAUUGCCCCACACGUCACUGCUCUCCGUCCCACAAAUUACCAGUCCCUGCCCCACACAUUGCCAAUCCCUGCCCCACACAUUGUCGAUCCCUGCCCCACACAUCGCCCCACACAUCACCGCUCUCCGCCCCACACGUUACCAAUCCUUGCCCCACAUAUUGCCGAUCCCUGCCCCACACAUCGCCGAUCCCUGCCCCACACAUCGCCCCACGCAUCACCGCUCUCUGCCCCACACGUUACCAAUUACUGCCCCACACAUUGCCGAUCCCUGCCCCACACAUUACCAAUCCCUGCCCCACACAUUGCCCCACACAUGGCCGCUGUCCGCCCCCCAGUUCUUCGAGGAGUUGGCAGAGGACCGAGCAGCUCCCGCUGAUGCCCCCGCCCCCCCGGAAAAAGAGCCGCCUGCCCCCCAGCAGCAGGCAUCAAAGAAGAAGAAGGAGAAGAGGAAGGGGCGGCGCCAGGGGGCGGAGCCUGAGCAGGAGGGGG
rnacentral:lncRNA from 1 species